GACGAACGCUGGCGGCGUGCCUAAUACAUGCAAGUUGAGCGAUGAAGAUUGGUGCUUGCACCAAUUUGAAGAGCAGCGAACGGGUGAGUAACGCGUGGGGAAUCUGCCUUUGAGCGGGGGACAACAUUUGGAAACGAAUGCUAAUACCGCAUAAUAACUUUAAACAUAAGUUUUAAGUUUGAAAGAUGCAAUUGCAUCACUCAAAGAUGAUCCCGCGUUGUAUUAGCUAGUUGGUGAGGUAGAGGCUCACCAAGGCGAUGAUACAUAGCCGACCUGAGAGGGUGAUCGGCCACAUUGGGACUGAGACACGGCCCAAACUCCUACGGGAGGCAGCAGUAGGGAAUCUUCGGCAAUGGACGAAAGGCUGACCGAGCAACGCCGCGUGAGUGAAGAAGGUUUUCGGAUCGUAAAACUCUGUUGGUAGAGAAGAACGUUGGUGAGAGUGGAAAGCUCAUCAAGUGACGGUAACUACCCAGAAAGGGACGGCUAACUACGUG
rnacentral:rRNA from 1 species